rnacentral:rRNA from 1 species
CGCAUCUGUGCAUGCAGCAUAUCAAUAAGCGGAGGAAAAGAAACUAACAAGGAUUCCCCUAGUAACGGCGAGUGAAGCGGGAAGAGCUCAAAUUUGAAAUCUUAAAGGGUUUCCCUUUACGAAUUGUAGUUUAAAGAAGUGUUUUCUGUUGAGGUUUUGGUAAAAGUUCUUUGGAAUAGGACAUCAUAGAGGGUGAGAAUCCCGUAUUUGACCUUUACUUUCAACUUUGUGAUACACUUUCAAAGAGUCGGAUUGUUUGGGAAUGCAGUCCAAAAUGGGUGGUAAAUUUCAUCUAAAGCUAAAUAUUGGCGAGAGACCGAUAGCGAACAAGUACCGUGAGGGAAAGAUGAAAAGAACUCUGAAAAGAGAGUUAAACAGUACGUGAAAUUGUCAAAAGGGAAGCGUUUGACACCAGUGUUGUUUUUCUGAAAAUCAAUUAAAGAACUGUUUAUGCUAAGUUGUUUAGACUUUAUCAGCUAAUCUGCUUAGUUUUGAGCUUUCUUUAAUGCACUUUUCAGUUAACAAGUCAACAUCAAUUUCUUUUGCUGUAAAAAAGCUUGAGGAAGGUGGCUUGAGAUUCGUCUUAAGUGUUUAUAGCCUCUUGCCUAUGCAGUCGGAGAGAUUGAGGUCUGCAGCGUAGAUCCUUCGGGGCUAAAUGCAUUUGUGCUAAGUUAUAGCAUUUUAUAGACAACUUGUUGACUAUGAUUUGUCUUGUAGCUUACUCGCUUAUGUUAUUUUACCUACGCUUAGGAUGUUGAAUCUGUGCGAGACUAC